GUAACUUCUAUGACCAUGAAUGAUAUUUAUUAUUAAUAGUGAACACAAUGCAUUUUGAUAGCAUAUAAUUUAAACCUAUUUACAGUAUGCAGAUAAGCAAAGAGAAACCAGGACAUAUCAAACAUUAAAUACAUUGUACAUAUUACACCUUAUGAACAUAUUGCACAAUUGAACAAAUCAACUUUGAGCAAAAAUAGUGCUCAAUUCAAAUAUGGUCAGUAGUCAGAUAUGUUCGAGAAUAUAGGGACUAACAAUUUGUGGAUGACACAUCAUUUUUACAUUGCAGUGAUACUUAAAAGCUGGAAUAUAACCUCUGGUAGACAUUUGUUAUUAGCUUCACAUUGUAACAUGUAUUUUAUUUGUGUAUAUAAUUUCGAUGAGCACAGAUAAUGUAGGACAUACAAAAAAAAAAUAAGCCGCUAUUACAAAACAUAUUUUCACAAAGUUCAUAAUCAAAUGUGUGUGUGUGUGUAUAUAUGUAUGUGUAUAUGAAUAUAUGUAUAUAUUUGUGUG